AUGGUCGCAUCGCUCAUGCCCCGCGUGUGUCUGCCCCCAUGUAGCAAAACACGCAGUCGGUUCCAGCAAAAAAGCCUGCAGGUUGAAACAUCCUCGCUAGUUCGUUGCUCCAACCGUAGUCGUCACCAUGGCCAAUCCCAGCAAAAUUGGGUGCCGAUUCCAGCAAAAUUGUGUGCCGGUUCUAGCUUUGCCAAUUUCGUUGCUCCCCUGGCACAUCUUGCGCGAGGGAAGGAAAGCGGCCGCCAUGGCCGUGCUAUUGAAGAAGCCAGUUCCAGCAGAAUAAUUUGCUGCUCCCAGCAAAAUACUUGGUUGGUUCCAGCAAAAAGACGAAUCCAACAGAAACAAAAAUUAAAUACGGUAGCAGCAAAAACAAAGGGCGGUGGUAGCAAAAAUUUGAAACUCGUUUUAGCAAAAUCAAAGACGGGCAGUAGCAAAAAUCAGAAGGAUGGUUGUAGCAAAAUCAUAUAUGGUAGCAGCAAAAAUUGGAGCUGGUUCCAGCCAAAAACACCCCCAAUUACAAAUCCUUGCAAAAAUAUUCACUAA
rnacentral:rRNA from 1 species